AUUAUUUUAGUAAAAUUUUAUUAUGUCGUCUUGAUAAGGCGGAGUUCUGCGGGGAUAAUA
rnacentral:tRNA from 1 species